GGAUGUGAGGGUGAUCUGGCUGUGACAUCUGUCACCCCAUUGAUUGUCAGGGUUGAUUCGGCUGAUCUGGCUGGCCAGGCUGGUUUCCUCUUCCUCCCUUGCUGCUCCAUCUGUCUCCCUCCUAAAGCUGUGCAAUCAGAGGACGACCGUCCCUGAAAAAGGAGAACUGUGUCCUCGCUCAAGGGUGUAGGAGUAGCUGGGCUCCCCUGCUAGAACCUCCAAACACUCUCUCAAGACCACAAGUGCUCAAGUGCUCGAGAACCACUGAUGCAGGCCGAGACUAAUGAGUUACUGACUCAGGAU
rnacentral:snRNA from 1 species